rnacentral:snRNA from 1 species
GGAUGUGAGGAUGAUCUGGGUGCGACAUCUGUCACCCCAUUGAUUGCCAGGGUUGAUUCGGCUGAUCUGGCCGGCCAGGCGGGUGUCCCCUUCCUCCUUCACCGCUCCAUGUGUGUCCCUCCCAAAGCUGUGUGCUCGGUCGAAGAGGACGACCACCCCCGAUAGAGGAGGACCGUUUCCUCAGUCAAGGGUAUACGAGUAGCUGUGCUCCCCUACUAGAACCUCAAACAAGCUCUCAGGGUCUAUUUGUAAAGAGUACUAUUAUACGUAUUUAUUCCAUAACCUCUUGCAUGGAGCCUUAUAUCUAGUAGGUGCUUGGCA